rnacentral:rRNA from 1 species
AGAGUUUGAUCAUGGCUCAGGACGAACGCUGGCGGCGUGCCUAACACAUGCAAGUCGAGCGUGAUCCUGUGAGAGGAGUUUUCGGACGAAUCGAGCAGGUGAAAGCGGCGAACGGGUGAGUAACGCGUGGGUAACCUACCUUAUACAGGGGGAUAACACCGGGAAACCGGUGCUAAUACCGCAUAACACAUGAAGGUGGCAUCACCUUUAUGUCAAAGGAGUAACAUCCGGUAUAAGAUGGGCCCGCGUCCAAUUAGCUAGUUGGUGAGGUAACGGCUCACCAAGGCGACGAUUGGUAGCCGAGCUGAGAGGUUGAUCGGCCACAUUGGGACUGAGACACGGCCCAGACUCCUACGGGAGGCAGCAGUGGGGAAUAUUGCACAAUGGGGGAAACCCUGAUGCAGCGACGCCGCGUGAAGGAAGAAGGUCUUCGGAUCGUAAACUUCUUUGAUUGGGGAAGAAGUAAGUGACGGUACCCAAGGAACAAGCCACGGCUAACUACGUGCCAGCAGCCGCGGUAAAACGUAGGUGGCGAGCGUUGUCCGGAAUUACUGGGUGUAAAGGGCGCGUAGGCGGGGGAGCAAGUCAGGUGUGAAAUACCACGGCUCAACCGUGGGGGUGCAUCUGAAACUGUUCUUCUUGAGUGCUGGAGAGGAAAGCGGAAUUCCUAGUGUAGCGGUGAAAUGCGUAGAGAUUAGGAGGAACACCAGUGGCGAAGGCGGCUUUCUGGACAGUAACUGACGCUGAGGCGCGAAAGCGUGGGAAGCAAACAGGAUUAGAUACCCUGGUAGUCCACGCCGUAAACGAUGGAUACUAGGUGUAGGAGGUAUCGAC